AAGAAUGGAGAGCAGUGCAGUGCAAGACGAGCAGAAAACGCAGAGAAAGCGCAGAGAGCAGUAGCGAAUGUAGGCAAAGCCGGGAACCUCGUCCAAAGGAAAUGCGGGUGCUCAACGAAGGUUAUUUUAAAAUUUAAGGAUACUGGUGGUGGGCCGAGGUGAAAUAUUGCUGUCUAGUGGAUGGCAGUAAUACGCUUCGCGUCAUUCAAUCUGCUAUUAAAAUCCAAAAAGAAGGAGAGCGAAGUGGUCACCACAAAGGUUGUACAAGCACACUAUGCCACAAUCAAAGGAAAUUCCAGAAGAGAUGAGGAAAAAAAGCUGUUGAAAUACAUAAGUCUGGAAAGGGUUAUAAAGCCAUUUCUAAGGCUCUGGGACUCCACCGAACCACAGUAAGAGCCAUUAUCUCCAAAUGGAAAAUGCUUGAAACAGUGGAGAAUCUUCCCAGGAGUGGCAGGCCUGCCAAAAUUUCUCCAAGGGUGCAGCAACAACUCAUCCAGGAAGUCACAAAAGAUCCAAGCAGAACGUCCAAAGAACUGCAGGCUUCUCUAGCCUCUGCUAAGAUCAGUGUUCAUGACUCCACAAUAAGAAAGAGACUGGGUAAAAAUGGGUUUUUGUGGGUGAAUAGCAAGGGGGAAACCACUAUUAAGCAAGAGAAACAAUAAUGCUUGUUUCACAUUUGCCAUAAAGCACUUGGAUGGUCCCCAAGCCUUUUGGGAUAAUGUUCUAUGGACCGAUUAGUCAAAAGUGGAGCUUUUUGGAUGACGUUGGUUCCUGGGAUGAAGAACAAAUUCUUCGCUCAAACUUUCAUGUCCACCUUGCUAUGGGGAAUGUGGGGGAGCACGGAGGAUAGGGACGCAAGUGCAUUUAAUUUAAAUGUUUGAAAUGCACAUACUCCAGUUCGUAACAAAAUGAUUUAAUCAACAACUCUGUACUUUCUUCUUAGUUGUGUCUGGGGCGUUCCUGCAGAGGAAAAGAACUGAAAAAAAAUUAUUAUUAUUAAAGGUUAAAGCUAGAGACUCUCCUUAACGUGCUGGAACUCAGUAGGUUAAGGGUUGUGCACUACCAUCACAGAUUUAAUUAGGUAUUAUGCGGAAUGUAGUUUCCAAUUGUUUGAGACAAAAAGGAGUGUUCUUUUAGAGAUUGUUUAUUUUAUCUUGCAACUGUGAUUAAAGAAGAAGAGAACAUAGUGUUGAAAAUGUAUAUAUUGUCAAUAUACAAUGAGCUCCAUAACGUUUUGGGGACACACUUUUUUUUUCUUGAUUUGGUUCGGUACUUCACAAUUUUACAUUUUGUAAUCAGCAUGUAGUUAAAGAGCAGUUCUUACUAAAGGGCAUUUUUAUACAUUUUUGGUUCACCAUGUAGAAAUUGCAGGAUUGUUUAUACAUAGUCCAUGCGACAGCCAAUCAGCAGCGAGACCUUGCAUCUUCCAUGUGAUUGAUAAAAAACAUAUCACAUGAUCACAUGGUAGCUGUAUGAGCUUGCUGCUGAUUGGCUGUCUUAUCAACACCCAAUGGAUAACGGUCUUUAGGUUUUUUCGCAGGACGCAUUUCAGGAAUCCUCUGGAAUGUGGCUGUUUACUACCACAUUAGGUAUAAGUAAAGAGGAAAAGAAAGCCAAUACACAUCCUUUGCACGCAAUGACCACUUGAAGUCUGUGACCCAUAGACAUCGCCAGGUGCUGAGUAUCUUCUCUGGUGAUGCUCUGACAGGCCUGUGCUCCAGCCAUCUUCAGCUUCUGCUUCUUUCGGGAGUUGCCUUAAGGUUUCUCUUCAGCAUGUUUUCAAUUGAAUUCAGAUCAGGGGACUGACUUGGCCACAAUGGCCAGUCAAGAUUUUUACAGUUUUGUCUUUGUUGCUUUAGCAACCUAUUGUAUAUUGGUAAGAUGAAGCGCCACCCAUAAGUUUGAAGGCAUUUGGUUGAACUUCAGCAGAUGAGAUGCUUCUGUGCACUGCUGCUAUCAGCAGUUACAUCAGUGAAAAUAAGUGAGCCAGCACCUGUGGCAACCAUACAUACCCAAACCAUAACACCCCCACAACUAUAUUUCACAGAUGAGACGGGGUGCUUUGGAUCUUGGGCAGUUCCUUUUGGCCUCUGCAUUUUGCUCUCGCCUUUCACUCUGAUAUGAGUUAUUCUUGGCCUUAUCUGUCCACAAGACCUUUUUUCCAGAACUCUGCAGACUUUUAUAAUACUUUUUUGCUAACUGUAAUCCUGUCCAUCCUGUUCUUGUGCCUAACUAGUGGUUUGCAUCUUGCAAUGUAGGCUCUGUAGUUUUGUUCUUAAAGUUUUCAGUAGUCACCAAUGCAUCCAUGCCUGCCUCCUGAAGAGUAUUUCUGAAGAGGGGUUUUUCUUCAUUAUGGGUAGAAUUGGUAUUGAACUGUAGAGGUUUUCCUUGGCCUAACUGGCCCUUUGUAAUUACUGAGCUCACUAGUGCGCUCUUUCUUCUUAAUGAUGUUCCAAACAGCUGAUAUUGGUAAGCCUAAGGAUUGGCUUAUGUUUCUGACUGUUUUUUUCUUCUUAUUUCUAGGCAAAUCAGAGAAACAAAAAUAUGUUUGUGUCCCAAACAUUAUGGAGCUCACUGUACAUGCAAAUGUAGAGAAUUUCCAGUUUAUUGAAUUUGAUAGUUUUUUAUUAUUGUAACUAGGGAUCAGAUUAGUUCAGUGAUGAGGUAACGCUACUAAAGGGUCUAAGUUACCCUCAUUCUGGGAGCAGGCUGUGUAAAGAACCAUUGUGAAGCUUUUGAUUAUGGUGGUGGUUGGGUGAUGGUGUGGGGACGCUUUGCUGCAUCGGGACCUGGCUGGUUUUUAAUUACUGAAGGAACAAUGAAUUCUGCUCUGUUCCAGAAACCUUUUAAGGAAAAUGUCUGGUCAUCAUUCCAUGAGCUUUAGCUGAAGCGUAAUAAAUGGUUGAAAUGAAACAAAAUGGACGUUUUGGAGUACCUUAGUCAAAGUCCUGACCUGAACCUAAUAGAGGUGUUGUGGCAGUACCAGAAACAAGCAGUCCAUACUCAAAAACCUACCAAUUUGUCUGAAUUAAAGCUGUUCUGCAAUGAAAAGUGGCUUAAAAUUCCUCCGCAGAAAUGUGAAAGACUAUAAAUUUAUAGAAAGUGUUUGGUUACAAUUA